UUGGUCCAACGGGGCGCAGCAGUGAGGAAUAUUGGUCAAUGGGCGCGAGCCUGAACCAGCCAAGUCGCGUGAGGGAUGACGGUCCUACGGAUUGUAAACCUCUUUUGCCGGGGAGCAGUGGUCCGGACGCGUCCGGACCGGGAGAGUACCCGGAGAAAAAGCAUCGGCUAACUCCGUGCCAGCAGCCGCGGUAAUACGGAGGAUGCGAGCGUUAUCCGGAUUUAUUGGGUUUAAAGGGUGCGUAGGCGGGCAUUUAAGCCGGCGGUCAAAUGUCGGGGGUCAACCCCGGCCUGCCGGCGGAACUG
rnacentral:rRNA from 1 species